rnacentral:rRNA from 1 species
UGAGUAACCUGCCCUUAACUCUGGGAUAAGCCUGGGAAACUGGGUCUAAUACCGGAUAUGACUCCUCAUCGCAUGGUGGGGGGUGGAAAGCUUUAUUGUGGUUUUGGAUGGACUCGCGGCCUAUCAGCUUGUUGGUGAGGUAAUGGCUCACCAAGGCGACGAUGGGGUAGCCGGCCUGAGAGGGUGACCGGCCACACUGGGACUGAGACACGGCCCAGACCUCCGUACGGGAGGNAG